CCAGAAGUUCAAAGUUGGUGAUAAAGUUGGUGUUGGCUACAUGGUCGGCUCUUGUGGUUCUUGUGAAAGUUGCAGUGAGGAAUAUGAAAACCAUUGCUUCAAAAUGAUAACAACAUCCAAUGGUGUCUACCAUGAUGGGGCAACAACCUAUGGAGGAUUCUCAGAUAUGAUAGUUGUCAAUGAGCAUUUUGCAGUACAUAUUCCUGAUAACCUGCCCCUGGAAAAAACUGCACCAUUGUUGUGUGCCGGAGUUACAGUAUAUAGCCCAAUGAAACACUUUGGUCUCAAUGAGCCUGGAAAGCACUUAGGAGUCGUAGGGCUUGGUGGGCUUGGCCAUGUCGCUGUGAAGUUUGGCAAGGCUUAUGGUAU
rnacentral:lncRNA from 1 species